UUUAAAUCCGGUUGAUCCUGCCGGACCUUACUGCUAUCGGGGUGGGACUAAGACAUGCGAGUCGAGCGUCUCUAGCUAUGUUGAGACGCGGCAGACGGCUCAGUAACACGUGGCUAACCUACCCUCAGGACGAGGAUAAACCCGGGAAACUGGGGCUAAUACUCGAUAGGUGAGUAUGUCUGGAAUGAUUUCUCACUCAAAGGGCCUUGGAAACAUGCUUCCAUUGUCGCCUGGGGAUGGGGCCGCGUCCGAUCAGGUUGUUGGUGAGGUAACGGCUCACCAAGCCUAUAACCGGUACGGGCC
rnacentral:rRNA from 1 species